rnacentral:rRNA from 1 species
UACGUAGGGUGCAAGCGUUGUCCGGAAUUAUUGGGCGUAAAGAGCUCGUAGGCGGUUCGUUGCGUCGGCUGUGAAAUCCCGAGGCUCAACCUCGGGUCUGCAGUCGAUACGAGCAAACUAGAGUGUUGCAGGGGAGACUGGAAUUCCUGGUGUAGCGGUGAAAUGCGCAGAUAUCAGGAGGAACACCGGUGGCGAAGGCGGGUCUCUGGGCAACAACUGACGCUGAGGAGCGAAAGCGUGGGGAGCGAACAGG